AAUCACGUGGGGUCACAUAGACUCCUCCAGGGGGUUUAUGGCUCUCUGUGGAUGGUAGCUGGUAAUACAGAAAACAGAAAUUGGAAGGAGUAUGUGAAUGAAAGUAAAUGCUGUGCUACAGGCUUUUGAGUGACCUAAAGGAACUGACUUUGGGUUAGAGGAAAUGCUGUGCAUAUAGUCCCUGAAAUAAUUUCAUGUACCCGAUGGGAUCAUAAGAGCUUGGUGUUUUUGUUUGGGGGCUUGCUUGUUUUCAUUAGGGAACAGAGAAUUUAUACCAGUCUUCCAUGAAAUAAGAGAGAUCUAUUUGAUUAGUAUUUCCAACAUAGCACUCCACAAUACCAACAUUUGUAAGAAGAGUUGAUGUUAUAAGUUUUGAAAUAACCUAGAAAAUAGGUUAAGGCAACUGGGUCAGUUUCAAUGUCAGGUCUGCUUUCAACGUAAGCAAAUUGGCUUGAUUUUGUUUAUUCAACAAAUAUCAAGUCUUGGGAUCUGUGCGAAGAACUUCAGGAAAGCAGCCACUCACAGCUGCAAACCCCUGCCAUCGCGGCAGGCAGCCCUCGACAAUGGAGGUGGGAAGGGGAACAGACCUGAGGAAGAGGAGGGUAGGGCGAGGGCUCAGCUGCAGGAAGGAGCAGCUGUUCUGUGUGCACUUCUGGGUUAGGAAGCUGGGCUCGCUGCAGAUCUCGGCCUGGUCAUGAACCCUGGACCUGAGCUGCGUUGCGUACAGGUUCAGUCUGACUCACACACUCACCUGCAUGGCGGAACAUAACUCUGCCUGGUGAAGGUUUUCAGAGAACAACGUCAUAAAGUCCUGCUGCCUCCUGCUCAGGGCUCAGGAGCAGUGCCUCAGCCAACGGUGAACAAGCCCCACAAGUCCCACUAGUCUGACUCUGGGGACCAUGUCGAGAAGCAGCCGCUAGAGGCUGCACUUGGUUUCAUUGUGGAAGAAGAAAAAUGGCCUGAGCAAAUCUGCAGCUGGCUUUCAUCAGCCCGGAACACCCUGUUCUUUCCUCUCAUCCUCCUGCCCCACUGGGCUCUCUGCACAGCCCUGCAGGAAAUCACAGCUGUUGACUAUCAAAAGACAAGUGAGUAGCCUUCUGGAAUCCUAUAGGACAGUCCAUUUCCACGAAGAAUGGGGACACCGUGGAAAGACUGCAAAGCCCAAAUCACUGUGUAAAUAUAACCUGCCAGUGUUGCCAUCAGAAUAACAAUCACCGUUGUAUCUCCA
rnacentral:lncRNA from 13 species